rnacentral:rRNA from 1 species
AGUCUAUUGAUUAUUUAAUAGAUGAACUCUGCUCAAUGAUAGAUUUAUUAAAUAGCCGCAGUAAACUGACUGUGCAAAGGUAGCAUAAUAAAUUGUCCCCUAAUUAGGGUCUAGUAUGAAAGGAAUCAUAUAUGGAAUCUGUCUCAAAUUUAUACUUUACUAAAUUUACUAAGCCGGUGAAAAUUCCUGCAUUAAUUAAUGAAAGACGAGAAGACCCUUAGAAUUUUUAUGAAAUAUUAAUUUACCUAUAAAUUUUAUUAUUUUUUUCGUUGGGGCGACGAAUAUUCAAUAGAUAACAAUAUUUUUUUAUUAAUACUAGUCCACUUUUAGUUAGUUAGGUAAAAUUACCUGAGGGAUAACAGCAUAAUUUUUUUAACAUGUUUAUGACCUCGAUGUUGGACUAGGAUAAGAUAUUGGUCAGAAACCUAUAUUAGUAAGUUCUGUUCGAACUACAAAUCUCCU